AUCUGACUGGCUCAGUGGGUGGGGCAUGUGACUCUUGAUCUUGAGAUUAUGGGGUCAAGCCCCAUGUUGGGCA
rnacentral:tRNA from 1 species